ensembl:snoRNA
CUGGCCCUAAAUCGAGGCUGGCAACUUCGUGAUGCUGUUGGUUUCAAGCAGGAGCUUAAAGAGAUGUCUUUCUACGAUCUGUUGGCCAUUUCAGAACUUGGGCAGUGAAAUGGUCAGUUCAUUAGAAAGAAACAGCU